AGAGUUUGAUCCUGGCUCAGGACGAACGCUGGCGGCGUGCUUAACACAUGCAAGUCGAACGAUGAAGCCCUUCGGGGUGGAUUAGUGGCGAACGGGUGAGUAACACGUGGGCAAUCUGCCCUUCACUCUGGGACAAGCCCUGGAAACGGGGUCUAAUACCGGAUAACACUCUGUCCCGCAUGGGACGGGGUUGAAAGCUCCGGCGGUGAAGGAUGAGCCCGCGGCCUAUCAGCUUGUUGGUGGGGUAAUGGCCUACCAAGGCGACGACGGGUAGCCGGCCUGAGAGGGCGACCGGCCACACUGGGACUGAGACACGGCCCAGACUCCUACGGGAGGCAGCAGUGGGGAAUAUUGCACAAUGGGCGAAAGCCUGAUGCAGCGACGCCGCGUGAGGGAUGACGGCCUUCGGGUUGUAAACCUCUUUCAGCAGGGAAGAAGCGAAAGUGAC
rnacentral:rRNA from 1 species